CCACACAGUCCAGGGCCGCACCUAACGUCGCACCCAUCUACAAGCGAAGGAAAAAAACCUCCGAAAAUUAACCAACGAAAAUUAACCAGCGAAAAAAAAACCUAAACCAAUCGCACGCACGACUCUCCUGCCCUCCACUCUCGAUCACCUCCCGUCGCCGCCGCCCUCGGCUCUCGAUCCCCUCGAGUAAGCUGUGUCGCCGUCGCUCUCGAUUCCCUCGAGAUCGUUGCGCCGCCAUCCCCUCGAGAUCCCCAGAUCUCACACCGCCACCGCCGGUGCCUCCUCCUCUGGCGACGCGGCGAACGAGAGCAGGGCCGCAGCAGGGGUGGCUGCCUCGUGCCCCCGAUGUCCAGGAGUUUCGGCAGAUCCGUUUUCGCCCUGGAUGUGAGUCGUGUACCGGCGACUCUGGCGGUCCGACCUCGUGCGCGUCGUCCUCACCAUCAACCCCAAGUCUUUCCUCCAGUGGACCAUUGAACUCCACAACCAAUUUCUUCGACGCUGUCAUGCAGGUUCGAGUCCACACAGUGAGGAGAUUGAUUCAUGCGUGCUUGUUUCAGUCCAGAUCUCUAAAUAAAUGUUCCGAACGAGGAAGCUAUGGGAGAUUGGCAGUGUCAAGCAUGUGUUUCCUUACGUCUUCAUCUGUACUCCAGCUGGUACAACUUCCUGUACUUUCUCAUAUUUUUUUGGUUAAUUGUGAUAUGUAUUUAUUUCAGCUCACACCUCAGUUCCAGUAACCAUUAGAGUCUGACUUCUGUUCUCUUAUUGGAUAUUCCUCAGUUCCAGUAACCAUUAGAGUUUGACUUCUGUUCUCUUAUUGCAUAUUAGGGUUGUAGUUUUUGAUACUACUCCUAUAGGGCAUACUUUAGGGUUGCUGCAGUUCCGAUCAACACUUGAGAAGAAAAAUGAUGCGAGUAAAGAAUAGCUUCAGUGGUCUAUUGAAUCAGGUGUUCCUUAAUCUUGAUAAAUUCCAAUCUAUUGGGAAGCUAUGAUUGUUUUCAUGUGUAUGCCCACCGCCGUGUUGCUUUUAUUCUGAUUUUAACAUAUUAUGCAUCUGUUCAUUCCAACAUGACAAUACACUGUAUAAUUUACGAAAGAAGAUGGGCAUGAUAGUCUAUUCUUGGUUCAUUAGAACAUGGCCUACCAAUAUGUUGAGGAAUUAACGGCAUCCUGAAUAAAAGAUGAUUCCUUAAUUGUUUGAUUUGUUGAGUCUUACAUAUAAAUAGAUACUGUGAUCCAUGGAAUUCUUCCACUGUUUGUAUUGAAGUUAAAUGACAAUAUGCUCUUCAUAUAUACUUUCAAUAUAGUAGAAUAUUCAUUUGGGAUAAAUUGACUUGUUCUAUUUGAAAGUGCUGCACCGGCACUAAUAAACAAAUCCAAUCUCAUGUCAUCUAUUUAUUCUGACAAUGGUGCCAUGUAGACUAGGAAUUAGAAAAAAAAACAAGUACUAGGAUACAUUGCAAACUAUGGAACGAAAGAAACCUACUUGAAAAGGCCUCAGCAGUUCUACGCAUGAGUCGGGUAAUGCAGCAUUAUAGGAUGAUCCAUUCAUAUGCAUACAAAGGCUUCAAUUUUGAUUUCCAUUCAGUUCCGUCCAAAUAUUGAUUUUUCUUUAGUUUAGAUCAGCUACGAUUUAGGUACUACGGUUGUAUAGGAUUAUCCACUGCCAUUCAUACAGAGGUUCCAGUCUUGAUUAUGUUUCAGUUGAAUUCAGUUUUUCGAGUCAGCCCAUCUCAGCUCUAUGUGACAUUUAUAAGAUGACUCCAUAAAAUUCACAAAAGACGGUAUUUUUUCCCAUCUCAGCCCCAACUAUUGCUUUCUUUGAGGUUUGGUCGUCUAAGUAGCUUUGCGGUGUUUUGGCCGGUGCAGGCUGGAGGACCCUGACUCGGAGGAGACGACAGAGUUCAUGGCGAGCGAGGCGGACUUGGCCGAGUCCAUUCUUUCCUGGUUAGGGAGAGCCUCCAACACAAGGUCAUGUGUUGCUUCUCUCCUCUAUUUGGAUUUUAUUAAUUGGUGUCUUUUUUACUGAUUCCUUCGCUAUUGCUGUGCGCUCCUAGGUUUAGUCCAUGUCUCUCUAGAUUACUUCUAUUUCGUACGAAUGGUCUUGAGUUUGCACAAUUCCGGGAUGUCAGCUCGCCGCACAUGUGAUACUUAUUGUUAAUAGUUAUAGAAUUCCCUAGGUGUUCUUUGUUAUUUUUGUGCACAGAAGUUGUUUGUGUCUUUGUCCGAGCCAAUUUCAGUUACAAAUCCCCGAGUUAAACUACAUGUGGCUAACAACAUUGCAGAUGAAGCUCUCGUCUUUGACUAUAAGUUUGACAUGUGCUAAGAGUUUUUCGGUGGUUGAUAUCCUGCACCUAGAUAUGUUUAUAGACUCAUAGAUAGAAUAUCCUUUCUUAUUUAUAGUGGAUCUGUUGUUGGUGCCUUACUACAAAGUACUGGUGUUUUAUGGCCACUACUAAUGAUAAUAGCAUUCUUUAUGCUAAGCUGCAGAUAAAAUAUUGAAGGGUGGAAGUCUGUUAAUCAUUCGAUUAGCCAAUUUUUGUUAUUUAGCAAUCAGUUUAACUCAUACAAUUAAAGUCUGAUUGUUGUGGUAAAUAAUGUUGCUAAGAACUUCAAGGUACCGCGUUUUUCCAAUUGUCGCCACUUGGCAAAAAAUUAUUGUUUUUAGAAGUAACAAGUAGUUUAAAAACUGUUGUAGCCCGUAGCAACGCACAGGCGUUCUCCUCUCGAUUCUCCGUUGUGCGACGUCGCAACUUCUUCUCCAACUCUGCGGGUGUAGAGAGAGAGAGAGCAUCGUGACUGCCAUGGCUUGAACUAUUUUGUUGAGAUCCUGGAAAAAUUGAAUGGUAUAAUUCUGUUAAUUGGGAACCUUGGAAUUGAUUUUCACCUGAAAAGGUUGAUCGAGGGUCGGAUAAUGGACGUAACACAGCUGCUAGAGAAGAUAUUAUAAUAUGGAAAAUAGCAGAUGAGGAGGAAGCUGAAGUUGGUAGAUCAAUUGAGCAAGAGUUCCAGACCCAGGUGCACUUAUAAUUGAGCUGUUUGUAUGAGCAGUGCUACAUGCUUCCACUCUGCAUCUCUGUAGUUAUUUGGCUGAAGGUUACACCAAGAACAAGUGCCUCAGAUUAUUCAUUUUCCAGGCAGCGGAAGGAUCACUCCCCCUCCCCUCGCGUCGCUCACCUGAGGGCGACUCGAGGGUGCCCUCGCCCCGUCCGCCGUGACCACCCCUCUUCGGAUGACCAAAAUGUGAUUUGAGGCAAAGUCUGCGUUUGAAGCAAGGACAAUAAAAAUGAUGGAGCUUUUGGUGCUCAGCACCUUGAAAUGGAGGAUGCAAGCUGUUACUGCUUGCUCGUUUAUUGACUACUUCCUUUGCAAAUUCAAUGAUCAUGACACACCCUCCAUGCUCGCAUUCUCCUGCUCAACUGACCUCAUCCUAAGCACAGCUAAGUGAGCUGAUUUUUUGGUGUUCAGACAUUCAGAGAUUGCUGGAAGUGUUGCACUUCCUUCAUUUGGGGAGCGCAAGACUUCAGUUGUCGAAGUGGCUACAACUAAUUGCAAGUAUAUAAACAAGGGAGUGUUCUAUGAUGUGAUGUGACAGGAAAGAUCCUGAUGAAGUGCUUCCUUUAUGGAAUGCCUAUCUAAAGUUUGGACUAAGAGACAUGCUUUAAUUGGCUUAGUAAAAAAUACUUGCUAAAGAGAAAUAAGAUUCAAAGUAGAUGUUUUUAUUCUAGAUUAGGAUAUGUGUGUUCCGCCACCGGUUCGACUUCUCAUAUUAGAAGGCAACCAGUUAGUUCAUAUAUUACUACUUUGCACUAUUGUAGAGGGAUAAUGAGGGAUUGAGAGGCUACUACUAUUUGUAUUGCUGUCGAUGCUUGCACAAUGCUACUGCUUAUUAUACUUGGGUAUUUAUCUUUGGAAUAAAAAACAAUCAUUUUCUCCCUUCAAUCAAAUA